GACGAACGCUGGCGGCGUGCUUAACACAUGCAAGUCGAACGGAAAGGCCCUGCUUUUGUGGGGUGCUCGAGUGGCGAACGGGUGAGUAACACGUGAGUAACCUGCCCUUGACUUUGGGAUAACUUCAGGAAACUGGGGCUAAUACCGGAUAGGAGCUCCUGCUGCAUGGUGGGGGUUGGAAAGUUUCGGCGGUUGGGGAUGGACUCGCGGCUUAUCAGCUUGUUGGUGGGGUAGUGGCUUACCAAGGCUUUGACGGGUAGCCGGCCUGAGAGGGUGAACGGCCACAUUGGGACUGAGAGACGGCCCAGAAUCCUACGGGAGGCAGCAGUGGGGAAUAUUGCACAAUGGGCGGAAGCCUGAUGCAGCAACGCCGCGUGCGGGAUGACGGCCUUCGGGUUGUAAACCGCUUUCGCCUGUGACGAAGCGUGAGUGACGGUAAUGGGUAAAGAAGCACCGGCUAACUACGUG
rnacentral:rRNA from 1 species